CAGGGUAAUGAAAAGAUAUAUAAAAUAUAAUUGAUAAUUUGAAGAUAUUCCACAAAAUUCCAGUUGUGAAACGCAAAAUUCCAUUUCUCCUUUAUAGCUUUCAUAUCACAUCUACAUCUCAUCGUCUUUUAGACUUUGGUUAACUUAGUUCUUAUUCUAAAUCUUUUGCAGGAAGAAGGUUUGGGAUGUUUGUCAAGCAUUCAAGAAGAAAAUCACCGGUCAAACCAAGAGCAUUGAAGUGUGGAAUUCAAGCUACGACGAACCAAGUGGCAUUAGAUCAGUGGUUGAUCCACUCAAUACUUUUUCAGUUCAGGCAACUCCGAAAUUUUUACCUCCGACUUAUUUGUGUAAGCAAGACACGGAGGCUGAAAGUAGUGGGGAAUCUAAAGUGGCUGACUCUAAAUUGCUCUGGCUUCGCCCGGCUGAAAGGUUAGACUUUGUCCACACCCAUCAGUUCGUACAACUUCCUCAGCUAGAGAGCCCAUCCCUGCCAGCAGCAACAACGAGAAAGUGACUGACAGGAGAACCCUCGACAAGUUUGUUGCUUCUCAGUUGAGCCAUGAAGACAGAUACCAUGGUGAAGUAUCUUUGCAACGUAUCUAUUGAUUUUGUGUAUGUUUAUCUCCUUUCAAUAUUUGAGGCGGUUAGUAGUUGGGGAAGACGAAGAACACAAAAACGAGAAGAGCAGAGUAAUCUGCGGGGAAAGAUGGCAAUUUUUCUUUUGACUAACUUUGAAAUACUGUUGUGUUGAAAUAAAACGUGGAUGACUGUUAAUGGUUAACAGGAUUACGUAAUCAUUGAUUAAAGUGAUUAAAUUGAGAAAAAGGAAUUGUAAA